GUGCCAGCAGCCGCGGUAAUACGUAGGGAGCGAGCGUUGUCCGGAAUUACUGGGUGUAAAGGGUGCGUAGGCGGGUCAGCAAGUCAGGCGUGAAAUACCGGGGCUCAACUCCGGGGCUGCGCUUGAAACUGUUGGUCUUGAGUGAAGUAGAGGCAGGCGGAAUUCCUAGUGUAGCGGUGAAAUGCGUAGAUAUUAGGAGGAACACCAGUGGCGAAGGCGGCCUGCUGGGCUUUAACUGACGCUGAUGCACGAAAGCAUGGGGAGCAAACAGGAUUAGAUACCCUGGUAGUCCAUGCCGUAAACGAUGAUAGCUAGGUGUGGGGGGUUAUAUGCCGUCCGUGCCGGAGUUAACACAAUAAGCUAUCCACCUGGGGAGUACGGCCGCAAGGCUAAAACUCAAAUAAAUUGACGG
rnacentral:rRNA from 1 species